rnacentral:sRNA from 1 species
CUCAUUCUGUGAAGUGGCUUUUCUUUCCAGACUGGGAGAGGCAGCCUUGAAAUCCCUCCAUUCCUAGAGAAAACAGGUCGACAGACUGCGGCUUGCUGUUUCUUCUUACCAUUUCCAUCUUCCUGGGGCUGGGCCAGCCCAGGAGCCCCAAAAGCAAGAGGAAGGGGCAAGGGCGGCCUGGGCCCCUGGCCCCUGGCCCUCACCAGGUGCCACUGGACCUGGUGUCACGGAUGAAACCGUAUGCCCGCAUGGAGGAGUAUGAGAGGAACAUCGAGGAGAUGGUGGCCCAGCUGAGGAACAGCUCAGAGCUGGCCCAGAGAAAGUGUGAGGUCAACUUGCAGCUGUGGAUGUCCAACAAGAGAAGCCUGUCUCCCUGGGGCUACAGCAUCAACCACGACCCCAGCCGUAUCCCUGUGGACCUGCCGGAGGCACGGUGCCUGUGUCUGGGCUGUGUGAACCCCUUCACCAUGCAGGAGGACCGCAGCAUGGUGAGCGUGCCGGUGUUCAGCCAGGUUCCUGUGCGCCGCCGCCUCUGCCCGCCACUGCCCCGCACAGGGCCUUGCCGCCAGCGCGCAGUCAUGGAGACCAUCGCUGUGGGCUGCACCUGCAUCUUCUGAAUCACCUGGCCC